rnacentral:rRNA from 1 species
GGGUUGUGAGGUUAAGCGACUAAGCGUACACGGUGGAUGCCCUGGCAGUCAGAGGCGAUGAAGGACGUGCUAAUCUGCGAAAAGCGUCGGUAAGGUGAUAUGAACCGUUACAGCCGGCGAUGUCCGAAUGGGGAAACCCAGUGCAAUUCGUUGCACUAUCGUUAACUGAAUACAUAGGUUAACGAGGCGAACCGGGGGAACUGAAACAUCUAAGUACCCCGAGGAAAAGAAAUCAACCGAGAUUCCCCCAGUAGCGGCGAGCGAACGGGGAGCAGCCCGGAGUCUGAAUCAGCUUGUGUGUUAGUGGAAGCGUCUGGAAAGUCGCAGGGUACAGGGUGAUACUCCCGUACACUAAAACGCACAGGUUGUGAACUCGAAGAGUAGGGCGGGACACGUGGUAUCCUGUCUGAAUAUGGGGGGACCAUCCUCCAAGGCUAAAUACUCCUGACUGACCGAUAGUGAACCAGUACCGUGAGGGAAAGGCGAAAAGAACCCCGGCGAGGGGAGUGAAAAAGAACCUGAAACCGUGUACGUACAAGCAGUAGGAGCCCACUUGUUGGGUGACUGCGUACCUUUUGUAUAAUGGGUCAGCGACUUAUAUUCUGUAGCAAGGUUAACCGAAUAGGGGAGCCGCAGGGAAACCGAGUCUUAACUGGGCGUUAAGUUGCAGGGUAUAGACCCGAAACCCGGUGAUCUAGCCAUGGGCAGGUUGAAGGUUGGGUAACACUAACUGGAGGACCGAACCGACUAAUGUUGAAAAAUUAGCGGAUGACUUGUGGCUGGGGGUGAAAGGCCAAUCAAACCGGGAGAUAGCUGGUUCUCCCCGAAAGCUAUUUAGGUAGCGCCUCGUGAAUUCAUCUUCGGGGGUAGAGCACUGUUUCGGCUAGGGGGUCAUCCCGACUUACCAACCCGAUGCAAACUACGAAUACCGAAGAAUGUUAUCACGGGAGACACACGGCGGGUGCUAACGUCCGUCGUGAAGAGGGAAACAACCCAGACCGCCAGCUAAGGUCCCAAAGUCAUGGUUAAGUGGGAAACGAUGUGGGAAGGCCCAGACAGCCAGGAUGUUGGCUUAGAAGCAGCCAUCAUUUAAAGAAAGCGUAAUAGCUCACUGGUCGAGUCGGCCUGCGCGGAAGAUGUAACGGGGCUAAACCAUGCACCGAAGCUGCGGCAGCGACACUAUGUGUUGUUGGGUAGGGGAGCGUUCUGUAAGCCGUUGAAGGUGGCCUGUGAGGGUUGCUGGAGGUAUCAGAAGUGCGAAUGCUGACAUAAGUAACGAUAAUGCGGGUGAAAAACCCGCACGCCGGAAGACCAAGGGUUCCUGUCCAACGUUAAUCGGGGCAGGGUGAGUCGACCCCUAAGGCGAGGCCGAAAGGCGUAGUCGAUGGGAAACAGGUUAAUAUUCCUGUACUUGGUGUUACUGCGAAGGGGGGACGGAGAAGGCUAUGUUGGCCGGGCGACGGUUGUCCCGGUUUAAGCAUGUAGGCGGAUGUUCCAGGUAAAUCCGGAACGUUAUUAACGCUGAGGUGUGAUGACGAAGCACUACGGUGCUGAAGUGACAAAUGCCCUGCUUCCAGGAAAAGCCUCUAAGCAUCAGGUAACAUCAAAUCGUACCCCAAACCGACACAGGUGGUCAGGUAGAGAAUACCAAGGCGCUUGAGAGAACUCGGGUGAAGGAACUAGGCAAAAUGGUGCCGUAACUUCGGGAGAAGGCACGCUGAUGGUAGGUGAAGCGACUUGCUCGUGGAGCUGAAAUCAGUCGAAGAUACCAGCUGGCUGCAACUGUUUAUUAAAAACACAGCACUGUGCAAACACGAAAGUGGACGUAUACGGUGUGACGCCUGCCCGGUGCCGGAAGGUUAAUUGAUGGGGUUAUCCUCGCGGAGAAGCUCUUGAUCGAAGCCCCGGUAAACGGCGGCCGUAACUAUAACGGUCCUAAGGUAGCGAAAUUCCUUGUCGGGUAAGUUCCGACCUGCACGAAUGGCGUAAUGAUGGCCAGGCUGUCUCCACCCGAGACUCAGUGAAAUUGAACUCGCUGUGAAGAUGCAGUGUACCCGCGGCAAGACGGAAAGACCCCGUGAACCUUUACUAUAGCUUGACACUGAACACUGGUCCUUGAUGUGUAGGAUAGGUGGGAGGCUUUGAAGUGUGGACGCCAGUCUGCAUGGAGCCAUCCUUGAAAUACCACCCUUUAAUGGCUGGUGUUCUAACGUGGGCCCCUGAUCGGGGUUGCGGACAGUGUCUGGUGGGUAGUUUGACUGGGGCGGUCUCCUCCUAAAGAGUAACGGAGGAGCACGAAGGUCAGCUAAUCCUGGUCGGACAUCAGGAGGUUAGUGCAAUGGCAUAAGCUGGCUUGACUGCGAGCGUGACGGCGCGAGCAGGUGCGAAAGCAGGUCAUAGUGAUCCGGUGGUUCUGAAUGGAAGGGCCAUCGCUCAACGGAUAAAAGGUACUCCGGGGAUAACAGGCUGAUACCGCCCAAGAGUUCAUAUCGACGGCGGUGUUUGGCACCUCGAUGUCGGCUCAUCACAUCCUGGGGCUGAAGUAGGUCCCAAGGGUAUGGCUGUUCGCCAUUUAAAGUGGUACGCGAGCUGGGUUUAGAACGUCGUGAGACAGUUCGGUCCCUAUCUGCCGUGGGCGCUGGAGAAUUGAGGGGGGCUGCUCCUAGUACGAGAGGACCGGAGUGGACGCAUCACUGGUGUUCGGGUUGUCAUGCCAAUGGCAUUGCCCGGUAGCUAAAUGCGGAAGAGAUAAGUGCUGAAAGCAUCUAAGCACGAAACUUGCCCCGAGAUGAGUUCUCCCUGACUCCUUGAGAGUCCUGAAGGAACGUUGAAGACGACGACGUUGAUAGGCCGGGUGUGUAAGCGCAGCGAUGCGUUGAGCUAACCGGUACUAAUGAACCGUGAGGCUUAACCUUACAACGCCGAAG